AAAUGGCGGUCUGGGCUCGCGGUUGAGGCCGGCUUUCCUUUGUCGCCCCUCAGUUACCGCCCCGGCCCCGAGCCUCACCUGUGUCGCUUGGCCGCGUUAGCCAGGUAGUGUCAUCUCAGCUGAUCCAGAAUUAAAAAGUUUUCCAGGUGGCUCUAAGCUUCUGUUUAUGUACGGCUUUCUUCCUGGUGUUACAGGUAAUGACAGAAAACUGAAUAGCUAUGGCAUCCUCCUUCCUUAAAAGUGCUGGUGGUGAAGAGAACAAUUCAUAUUCUCCAUAUUAAAAUGGGGACACAUGCAUAGUGAGACUCACAUGGUUAUAUUCAGGCUGUAAACAAGAGGAGGAGAUAGAGUCCUGCUGAAUCAAAAGGAAUUGACUUUUAAUGGUCAAGUUUAUUUUUUAAAAUUAUUUAACUUUACAUUAAAAAAAAAAAA